GCCUGGGUGGCUCAGUCGGUUAGGCGACUGACUUCAGCUCAGGUCACGAUCUCGCGGUCUGCGAGUUCAAGCCCCGCGUCAGGCU
rnacentral:tRNA from 1 species